rnacentral:rRNA from 1 species
CCUACGGGUGGCAGCAGUAGGGAAUCUUUCACAAUGGGCGAAAGCCUGAUGGAGCAACGCCGCGUGCAGGAUGAAGGCCUUCGGGUUGUAAACUGCUUUUAUAAGCGAGAAAUAUGAUGGUAACUUAUGAAUAAGGAUCGUCUAACUACGUGCCAGCAGCCGCGGUCAUACGUAGGAGCCGAGCAUUAUCCGGAGUGACUGGGUGUAAAGAGUUGCGUAGGUGGCCUAAUAAGUAGCUAGGGAAAUCUGGUGGCUUAACCAUUCAGACUAUUAGCUAAACUGGUAAGCUCGAGACCGUUAGGGGUAACUGGAAUUCGUGGUGUAGGAGUGAAAUCCGUAGAUAUUAGGAGGAACACCAAUAGCGUAGGCAGGUUGCUGGGACGGUUCUGACACUAAGGCACGAAGGCGUAGGGAGCGAACGGGAUUAGAUACCCUUGUAGUC